rnacentral:rRNA from 1 species
GGAAAGUNUGGAGUAAAAGGCUAUGGCUCAACCAUAGUGUGCUCUGGAAACUGUNUGACUUGAGUGCAGAAGGGGAGAGUGGAAUUCCAUGUGUAGCGGUGAAAUGCGUAGAUAUAUGGAGGANCACCAGUGGCGAAAGCGGCUCUCUGGUCUGUCACUGACGCUGAGGCUCGAAAGCGUGGGUAGCGAACAGGAUUAGAUACCCUGGUAGUNCACGCCGUAAACGAUGAGUGCUAGGUGUUAGGCCCUUUCCGGGGCUUAGUGCCGGAGCUAACGCAAUAAGCACUCCGCCUGGGGAGUACGACCGCAAGGUUGAAACUCAAAGGAAUUGGCGGGGGCCCGCACAAGCGGUGGAGCAUGUGGUUUAAUUCGAAGCAACGCGAAGAACCUUACCAGGUCUUGACAUCCCGAUGCUAUUCUUAGAGAUAGGAAGUUACUUCGGUACAUCGGAGACAGGUGGUGCAUGGUUGUCGUCAGCUCGUGUCGUGAGAUGUUGGGUUAAGUCCCGCAACGAGCGCAACCCUUAUUGUUAGUUGCCAUCAUUAAGUUGGGCACUCUAGCGAGACUGCCGGUAAUAAACCGGAGGAAGGUGGGGAUGACGUCAAAUCAUCAUGCCCCUUAUGACCUGGGCUACACACGUGCUACAAUGGUCGGUACAACGAGUUGCGAGCCGGUGACGGCAAGCUAAUCUCUGAAAGCCGAUCUCAGUUCGGAUUGGAGGCUGCAACUCGCCUCCAUGAAGUCGGAAUCGCUAGUAAUCGCGGAUCAGCACGCCGCGGUGAAUACGUUCCCGGGCCUUGUACACACCGCCCGUCACACCACGAGAGUUUGUAACACCCGAAGUCGGUGAGGUAACCUUUUAGGGGCCAGC